UACGGAGGGUGCAAACGUUGCUCGGAAUUAUUGGGCGUAAAGCGCACGUAGGCGGUCCCUCAAGUCGGGUGUGAAAGCCCUCGGCUUAACCGAGGAAGUGCAUUCGAAACUAAGGGACUUGAAUACUGGAGAGGAUGGCGGAAUUCCCGGUGUAGAGGUGAAAUUCGUAGAUAUCGGGAGGAACACCAGCGGCGAAGGCGGCAAUCUGGACAGAUAUUGACGCUGAGGUGCGAAAGCGUGGGGAGCAAACAGG
rnacentral:rRNA from 1 species